rnacentral:rRNA from 1 species
AGAGUUUGAUCCUGGCUCAGGAUGAACGCUGGCGGCGUGCUUAACACAUGCAAGUCGAACGAGAGGACAUGAAAAGCUUGCUUUUUAUGGAAUCGAGUGGCAAACGGGUGAGUAACGCGUAAGCAACCUGCCCUGCAGAUGGGGACAACAGCUGGAAACGGCUGCUAAUACCGAAUACGAAGCAGCUCCCGCAUGGGGGCAGCUUGAAAGGAUGGCCUCUGAAUAUGCUAUCGCUGCAGGAGGGGCUUGCGUCUGAUUAGCUGGUUGGAGGGGUAACGGCCCACCAAGGCGACGAUCAGUAGCCGGUCUGAGAGGAUGAACGGCCACAUUGGGACUGAGACACGGCCCAGACUCCUACGGGAGGCAGCAGUGGGGAAUCUUCCGCAAUGGACGAAAGUCUGACGGAGCAACGCCGCGUGAGUGAAGACGGCCUUCGGGUUGUAAAGCUCUGUUAUACGGGACGAACGGGCGGGAUGCUAAUACCAUCCUGUUGUGACGGUACCGUAAGAGAAAGCCACGGCUAACUACGUGCCAGCAGCCGCGGUAAUACGUAUGUGGCAAGCGUUGUCCGGAAUUAUUGGGCGUAAAGGGUGCGCAGGCGGUCUCUUAAGUCUGUCUUAAAAGUGCGGGGCUCAACCCCGUGAGGGGACGGAAACUGGGAGACUGGAGUAUCGGAGAGGGAAAGCAGAAUCCCUAGUGUAGCGGUGAAAUGCGUAGAUAUUAGGAGGAAUACCAGUGGCGAAAGCGGCUUUCUGGACGACAACUGACGCUGAGGCACGGAAGCC